AAGAUUGAGAAUUAUCCAUCGAGAUUUAAAAACCAGCAAUGUAUUACUAGAUGCUGAUAUGAAUCCUAAAAUUUCUGAUUUUGGCAUGGCAAGAAUAUUCAGAGGAGAUGAAGUACAAGACAAAACCAACCGAGUUGUAGGAACAUACGGCUAUAUGGCACCAGAGUAUGUGAUAUUUGGAAAAUUUUCAACAAAGUCUGAUGUCUUCAGUUUCGG
rnacentral:misc_RNA from 1 species